GGCUCCGAGCUUGGGGACGAGACAGUUAAAGCCUCCCCGUGCAAGCCAGUGAUAUCACACAGCGCCAGUGCCAGGUCAGCAGUCUGGCUGGAGCUCGGACGUGGUUGGUGGUGCCAGGCAGUGCCAGGCACCCCGGGGAGCCAUGAAGAGGGAUCCCCAAACCGGGCUUCCUUCUGCAGCCCAGAGGAUGCUUUGACGACUGCCUCAUGCAAAGAAACAGGGGCUGCAUGGCUGCUUCCCAGAGGAGCCACGUUGGAGCACGGACCUCCCCGGCUGGGAGCCCACUGUUGCUGUGACAAAGGGAGCUCGGCUGAGAACCUGCUCAGUGAAUGAAUUGGAGCCGUGGAAGACAGGAAGUUCAUACUCACAUGUCGCAUGUCCUUCGGCAGACUGUUCAGUAUCUCUGGACCUCAGUUUCCUUUCUGUAAACUUUGUAGGAUUUUAUCUGCCUGGGAAUUUAAGUCUGAGCAUUGAAUGAACUCCUUAGGCCCCCAAUCUGAACACUCAGAGUGUGCAAAGCGUCUUACUAACUCCCCCGCACGCAUGGUCUUCAGUCCCACGUGGUUCUGGGACCGGACCCUGACGGUCUCCACAGACUGAAACGGCUGGCACGUGAAUUUAAGUCACUCGCCCAGACCGCGGACUUGGCACGUGACCCAGCCCUGAUGCAGAGGGAGCCCUGCCGAACCAAGCUUGUGCUUUGAAGCAAGACCCGAUCGCGCCCUGGAGUUCAAGUGCAAGGUGCUGUGCGCAGGAAAUGUUCACGGGGUCACUCGGCUCUAGUGACCUUUUCCCUCUCGCGCGGCCUCUGGUUUGAUGUCUACCUGUGGACAGUGUCGCGUCACCCCAUGGAGUCCCUGAGUUGACAGCGAAUGAGCAAGCCAGUGCCUUGUUUCUGAAAUCAUCAUGGGCCAUUGCUGUUGGUCUGGGAAAGAAGAAAAGACCCACGUGUCGUGGGAAUGUUUGCAAACACGCACCCUGGAUCAUCACACAAGCAGCUCUCGGGAGACGGCGUGUGGGGUGGGGCUCUUCUUGGUCCUCGACGUGGUAGAAUUGGGCCCUCCAGCACUUCUUCUGUGGGUGGGCCUGAAGCCUCCACGCUGUUCGCUCCUGUGAUCCCAGUCACCAUGGACACAGAGGGGAACAGGCGGCCUUCUGUGACCAGCUUCCGUUUACCUGGAUUCCCAUCGUUCUUCCCACAGAGUGAGCAUUGCCUUCAGACGUGGAAGGGCAGGAAGGCGUGGUUUGGCCUCCCACUCUGGCCUGGCCUUUUCCCAGCAACGUGAGCAAAGAAGGGUCGGCCUUGUUUUCCUCCGUCACCUCUCUAAGUCCACUUCUGGUCUGACAAACCCGCGAGGCGUCUGUCCCAGUGAGCACGUGAUGUGAAUACAUAGAUCAGAGAGCCGGGAAGCCCCGUUAGGACACGCAGCUGAGACGCUUCCUCUGAACCCGAAUCUGCACGUAGUUACGGGCACGCUCACCAUUGUGAUGAGGGGAACGCGUCCCCGUAUUUCUCCUCCCUGUCACCCAAAGUUCUCCUCCAGCCCUUCCUCUGGAUGUCGGAGUCCGGACGGAGACGGGAGGGCUCAAGAGUGGAGCGUGUUCUUGGCAAGAAGUAGGGUGCUCUAGGGAAAAGAGGAGAGAUUUAUCUCCCUUUUCCUCCCCACUCAGAGCCCAUUCUGAAGAGAUGUCCGUGUGGGGGAACGGGGAAGAGGGGAGUUCAGAUGUCGGGUUCCUGGCAUUUGGGGGCCAGGAAUGACAGUCAUGCCAGUAGUGCUGUUCGUGCCAGCAGUUCUAGCGGCAGCAGGAGCAGCUAGGGGUCAUCGAGUGCUUACUCUCCUUCCAGAUGCUCUUGACUCUGCAUGGGUAUUCUGGAUUUCACAAAAGCAUUAGAAGGUAGGCACUCCUGUUUUCCCUAUCGGCACACGAGAGGCCCGAUAUUCAGGGAUGGGAGAAACUUACUCGAGGCACAGAGCCACCCACAGGGCCCUCUGUUUCCGCCAGGCACUAGCAGGGGCCCACUGCCCGCUGGAGAGGGAGUUGGUCCUCACCUCCCAGCACAGCCGGGCACAACUACCCCUGGGACCUGGCCCACAGCCUGGCCAGCAGAUGGAGCGGCUCUCCUGAGAUCUCCUCACCCCCCGGCCCACUUCCUCCUGUCUUCCUCUCCCCGAACAGGGUAGAGGGAGCGGGUACCCAAUUUGUGCUCAUUUUCUCCGAAGCAGGAGGCCUGGUGCGUGGGACAUGAAGCGGAGAGGGCCAUGCAGACCAGGGGACUCCUGGGGGUCGUUUUCCCGGCCUCCAGAGCUGCUUCCGUUCCUGGGCUCCUGGUUCGGUCCUCUGCUCUAAGCGCCUUUCCGCUCUGGGCCCCGUCCACUGGGAAGGAGCAUGGUGACAUUCUGCAAGGGUCGCUCACCAAGGGGGUGCAGCAGGCGUGUGCCCACGGCUAAAGCGCGGACACCUGAGAUGUGCUCGAAAACCGCAGAGAAAGCAGCACAUUCCGUGCAGGGGAACGCGGCCAGGAAAGGGUCCGAGGAAGGCACAGCCCUUGUCUUGACGGGAAAAGUGAGCACACCUCAGCAAGCAGGCGUCCACGCGGUUGGGGUGGUGCCACCUGGGCCAGGGAACGGCCUUAGGAGGGCUGACUUUGACCUCUGGCAGUCGUGGAGGUCACGGCGAGGAGAGGGGACCAGCGCACCUGCGAAUACUCUUUACCACCCGGAUGUGCGGCAUUGUCUCUAAGAUCCGCAGCAACGACUGAAUGCUUCGUGGACAUCGAGAGCUUCAAAAUGUUAAAAACACACAAAAAAUUAAACAGGAGUUAAGAUGUAGAUUCACGGAGACUGACGCAACACGGAUCUUUUCAAAAGUUUUAACUUCUCGUCGCUUGCUAGCGUAAGGAUCCUUCUGAGCACAGGGGCUCCGCUCAGAGGCACGGGGGUACGAUGCCAGAGCGGCCGGCAGAGACACGGGUCACGGACGGAGCCGGUCCCGGGAAUGGCCCGGGGGCCCACCUGCGGCGCGCGUGCAGGAGGCGGUUGCUACUGAAAUCCCUGCGCACAGGAGCUCGUGCUCGGCGGUGAGCCGUGGUCCCCAGGUUUGCAGCGGGCGUGGGCGCACGCGGAACAGCACACGUGCGGGUUCCCCUCUCCCGGCGCCUCAAGACGACUCCUCCGGUGUUUGCCGCGUGGCUCCGUGUCUGAGAUACCGUCUCCUCUGCCGGACUCCUGCGCGGCGUUUUGGACUUGCCCUAGAACAUCACAGACCCGAGAGAAGAGACACUAGUAGUCCCCCACACCUGCACGAGAGGCGAUGAGAGGCAUGGGGACAGGGUGUCUCCCCAAGUUUGUCAUAUUUGGUGACCAGUUCAAGACCCAUGGCCCCAUCCUGACUUCUAAUCAAGGAGGACAGUGGGCUGGUUGAAAAUAUCUGGCUUGAGGUAAGCUCCCAGACUGUAACUGAGAAGAGAAACAAAAACUGAGGGCCAGAGGUGUGGAACAAGACAGAACCAUAGGGGUGAGUGAAGCCACAGCCAGAAAACAGUGGCUCCGUGGUGCGGGUCCCAGGAGACAGCACAGUCUGGCGAUGGUGGAGAUAAUGGAGCAGAAGGCGGUGGACCCUAUUUGCAGUAAGACCUACUUAGCCUCAGAGAGCUCUGGGAGUAACAGGUUGACCGGAAGCCAGCCUCCCAGGGAGGGGCGACAGUAAGAUCAUGCUGUCUUGGCUCAGAGUCCAAAUCAGAGAAGUUUAGGAGCUGUGGGAUUCUUCCGGGAGCCAGGAGACCGCGCGCGGUGGGUCACCAGUCACCCACCGUGUACUUUGCGCGUCCGUCAUCGUCGUGGCCCGAGGAGCAGAAUCUGCGUGCUGCCGCGGACGCAGAGGGACAGCGGCUGGAAGGGGCAGUGGGAGUGAAGGGUGGAGUUGGCUUUCCUGGGGCCAUUGUCGGGCAUGAGAGUGCAGCAUGUGACUGGUGCCCUCCAUUGUUUCAUGUGACAACCAUUGUUUUAUGGCAUCAAAUAACAUCUCAUUCCCCGGCCCUAUGACAAAGAUGAUUGGACUGAAGCUUUUAAAAUCACAACGAUGGUCCCGUGGUAUCAGAAAUAAAAACUGUUGACCUGAAGUUAUGGCCAGAUCUUUCAGCUCCCCAAACCUAUUUCACGUCUAUCCAUUCAUGCAUGUGGGUGGCUCUUACGCAAGGUAUGAAAAGAGAUACACAAGCACAUCGGUGGUUUGGAAGAAGGAGAGAGAAUGUGGCUUCUACCAGGGAACUAGGACAAACACUCUCUCCUCUCCUCAAAUAGGCAGCCUUUAUUUGGUAAGAAUGCAAACAUUCUGCUGGGGAUAUUUCUCCUGGACACUUCCCAUCUUGCAAAUGGAGUCUGAAGUGAAGAAAAUGAUCAAAGCGUUGGCAAAGGAGAAGAGAGAAGGACCAGCAAUUUUAUUUGUCAGUAGUAACACUCGGCAACUAUGAGCUUUAAAAUUUCCCAUGUCUUCCCUCCAUUUCAUAAAGAGUUCUAUCCAAAGGAAGAAGAAAACAUAUUUUUUUCAGGUCUAACCCUGAGCUAAUCUCUGUAGCUUGAGCAUCACUCUUUAUUCCCACAGCAGCCCUGCGAAUUAUUAUAGUCCCCUUUUGGUAAGUAUAAAUAUCCACGGAUAUAUUAAAACAUUCAGGAGGUUGCCCAAGGUCACAGAAUGGUGUUUCAUUCCAGAACACAUGAGCUUUCUGCUACAUCGCUUGCUAGGAAGGAUUAUCUCUGGGCAGAGAAGGUGGGGAGCACGGCUUGUAUCCACGGACCAAGACCUGAACCCUCGGACUCGAGACUGUCGUCCUACCUGCUGGGUUACUCGCUCAGUUCAACCAUUGGCGUUUCUGAGUUCCAAUAAUGUGGAACGAAUGAAUCUGUAGGAACAAUGAUCAUACAUCUCACUGGUCAUUAUUAUUCUUAAAACCUGUUUACCAUGCUCCCACUUAUCUUCAUAUUAUUCAAUUGACAAGAAUUACUGUUGUUGUACUUGUUCCUAUGAUUAUUUUCCAGAUGUGGACAGUAAAUGCAUGGAAUUGACAUGAACUACUCGAGGUCACACAGAUAUGAAAUGGUAACAUUUAGAUGUUAAGCUUUCGAAUAGUGAGUUCUUUUCCAACAUUCUUCUGACCUUCAAAAUUUGAAGAAGUAUUUUUCUUGGGUCCAGGCCUGGGCAGAUGGUGGGCAUACUUCCUUGGUAUAUCAAGCAGGGUUGAGGAUGCAAGAAUUCAAUCAGAGAUGCUGGCGCUAUGAAAGCCAGAGACCGAUGGCUAGAUCUCAGUUUUCUCUGCAGGACGCACAGGGCAAGACCUGUAUGAGUGAGGUGGGUGUUAGUGUAACUUCUCAAAGAUGGAGAAGACAAGGCUUAAGAGAUGGAGACAUUCUCAACGUCAUAAAGCUAGCCAUUAACCAAAGGAAGGUGUGUUGGGGCCGGCCAGCUCUGCAACCUUGCCCUGUGGUUAAAGUCAAUAAGUAUUGAACACUAAAGCGAAACCAGUUGUUCCUAAAUCCCAGCUCAUCCCUUUCACCGCUUGGUGAUUUGGGGGACUUUACUAGGCGUCUCUGUGUUUCAGUUCAUCAUAUGAAACCUGGAGAUCAUAAUUUCACUGUUUCACAGAUUUCUCCUGAGAACAAGGUGGGGCAGGGCAUCCAAAGUGCUUCACACAGUCCCCGACACAGAGUCAGGUUGACGAAUGUUAGCUCCCAUUGUUCAGUAGACCACGGGCCCCAUUUCCUUACCCAUAAAGUGGGCAUUGAUGUCAUAUUCUGACAGUAUCUUAGUAAGAACUAUCGGCAAUAGGGCGAAAGAACAUCAAUAAAAGGCACUUUGUGUGUUUGCAGUGGGUAUGGGUGCUACAGAUUUAUAAAUGCUACAGAAAGGGAGAACGGGUCAGUGCUGGCAUUCUCUCAGGAAGCACGAGCCAGGCACUGCUUGGUAGAGCAGCCACUGGGACCGAUAAGGUACAGAUUCUGGUCCCCAGAGGCUCCCAAGAGAGUAAGGAGCACAGACAUGGAGAGACAGUUCUCAAACACAGGGACCGCUUCCAUGGAGGCUUAAAGAGAGGACAAGACACUGUGUCUGCAAGCCUGGCAGCAUCACUUCUCAUUAUGAACUGAUUUUAACUUAAUAAAAGAGAAGAUUCGCUUUAUCCCAUCUAGCUCCCUCUUACCCAGUUUUACACCAGCGUGGGAUGAUGAAGACGGAGUGCCAUCCUGGACACCGGGUGACCUGGCCUUGACCUGGGCUUGCUGGGUCACCUGGGGACACAGCUUCACUUCCUUACACUUCAGACCCAGCCCGGGCAGCCCGACCCGGCUGUGGCUGAGCACACGCCGGCUGGACCCACCUCUCACCCUGCGAGCCCUGAGAAGAGAGAGGGACGCCCUGUGAGGAGCUGACCACACAAGGACCCGUUGAUGGACAGGAUCAGGCCGUGUGUCAUUGGACACCGGACAGCGUCAGUCAGAGGGUCCCUUUCUAAAGGAGUUCACAGUCCAGAACCCAGUCCUGGGACCAAAUGAUUCCAGGUUUCUAGGAAGACGGUUCUAGGAAAUUCUCCACUAGGGAUGAACUUGAACCUUGAGCAUCUGACUUAAAGAUAGCAGUAAUCACCCCUUUCUUCAACAAUGAACACAUUUUACCUGUCGUGGGUUUUGCCACUUUCCAAAGUGAAUUACAAUUAUUUGUGGGGAUGUUUUAUUCCCUUAGUAGCCUGAAAAUUCUUUGAAGACACACCGCAUCUCAAGUUUCCUUGUUGUUCCAGCACAGAGUAAGUUAAUGCAUGUCCAUUGCAUGUGCUUAUUAUAUGUUUAUGAAUGAAUGAGUGAAUGAAUGAAUGAAUGAAUGAGUGGGUAGGUGAAGUAAUGCACAAGUGCAGUGAUUCAUGAGUGUGGACAGCCUCCCACAGGUGCAUCGGCAGGAGUGCUAACGAAUGGUAGUAACAUCUGAUGGUUAAAACAUGAGUGAAUGUCAUCCCCGCGCUGGUCCCCAAACUAGGUGGGACAGGAUGGCCUCCAGGGCCGGCCACUCUAGGACAGAGAAGCUCCCGGCCUCGCCUGGCCUUCCUCAACCUGCAUUGUGUUGGUGCUACAGGUUUUCGUCUAGAUGUCUGUCCCUGAAAACAAAGGUGCCUUCUUUGUCAUCACUGUGGGCCAUCUGUAUCCCUCUGCGGGAGUCCAGGAGAGAGAGGGAGACACCAGGCAGGAGACAGGCAGUGAGCUUGGCUGAACCGUAUGGGGAGAAGCAGGGUUGCAGGUGGGAAGUCAGGACAGAUGCUAAGAGCUGAGACCCAGCUGCAUGCAGAGGCAGGGAGUUGGUCCCCGGGCUGCAUCAGCAGGACUCUGUGCCCUCUGGGCUCCGGGGGAGGACUGGGUGGGGUUGGUGGGUUUCCCCAGCUGGGGAGUGGAGGCGGAGAUGGAGGUCUUGGCUCCACCCCUGCCAGGUUCCCCUCGGGCUGCUGUUCCCUGGCAUGAAGGUUGGAGGUCCUCCCACGGCAUCCCUUUCUAUAUACCUGUGUCUCUUCGCAGGCUCCGGCAGGUGCUCUGUCCCCUCCUCCCACUGCUCAGGGUUCGGGAGAUAACAGCUCAUUGGAAGGAGGCCCCCAGACCCCUACACCUCACCCACACCUUUGUGAUGAGCCCCUGUGUGGAUAGGAGUUUCUGAGUUCUCCUAUUUGACGCAUGUUUCCCACUGGGACCCUAACGGGUGCAGACAGAUGGAUAGACCUAAUCGCCCCUGUUCUCAGUAAGUUCAGAGGCGUUUUCUUUCCUGUGUGACCCUGACAUGAUAGUCACUCUGCUAAAGCCCUGAUUUCCUCAUCUCCAAAGUGGAAUGAAUAGUCUGGAUUUUCACAGGCACUGAACGAGUUGACGCCUGUGGGACACUUGGCACAAGGCCUGGGAGAUGAACACAUUGGAUACAUUUCAACUUUAAAAAGAUGUAAGCAUAGAAAGAUGUGUGCCAGCUGACCCGGAGCAAAGGGGCUCACUCUCCCUCCCGUCCUGCAGAAGGCCAAGUGGUUCCAAGUUGUCAGGACAGUGAUGUCUGAGACAAAGAAGAAAAAGGAAGAACAUUCUCAAAACUGUGAGCUGCCUUCUGGCCCAAAAGGAGCAUAGCCCGGAAUCAGGCACAUGCAUCUCUGAAAAGCAAGGGGGCCUUGUAAGGUUUCUCCAAAAUUAUUCUGAAACCAAAGAGAUUAGUGGUUUUGAAAAUGGGAGUCUCGGGAGGUGUCUGUGUGAGCAAUAAAGUACGAAGUAUGUUUUUCUGAAAGGUAGCUGUUUGUAGAAAGGAGAAUUCUGUUGGCCACGUCUCUUUUUUGCGUGAGUUUGGGGGAUUAAGUGUAGAAACUGGGUUGGUGACACAGGCUCUGGCUCCUUAGCUCAGACCCAAUGAUGCCGCAGAGCCCAGUCAGCUUUCAUGAGAAGUGAAGGAAAACUCCUUGUUUUAAAACUUUGAUCCGAGUAAGAGUCAGAGUGGUAAAUUUUCGUGUGCUAAAAUUACUCCUUGGAAAGCUUACUGCCAGCAGCGGUCCAUGGGGUAGAACCUGGAUGUUUUGGUGGAAUGUUGGAGUUCAGCUCUCUGAUGAGAGAUCUUCUUAGAGUCUUUUCUCAAUAACCAUUCCGAUGUUUUUCUGACUGAUGUAAAAUCCUUGUGCUUGCUAAGAAGAGAAAACAAUGGCAACUGGCGACGGGCGGUAGGCGCGAGUUGGGGGGAUUAGAAACUGUGGCUUUCUAUGCGUAGAGUCACCACCGCUCAAAGAAGCCACGGCCACCUUCUCCUGGGCCUCGUCCCUUCACCCGGUCUGACACUCCUUGCGGGACAAACCGUCAGAGCCCCAGUUCUCCCUCCCACGCGGACGCGGCAGAGACCCUCCACGGGGCGUUGGGGUCUCCUAGGUGAGCAUCUGAUCCGGCUUCCGACGGCAUCGCUGGCAUCAGUCCAGAAAAGCAGCGUCUGUGCAUCAGGAGUGGGGUUGACUGUCAAUGGGAUUUCUACGAGUUGCUUACGUGAUGUGAGCAGACCUGCUAGCAAUGAGGACUGAGAAAGGAACAGAGAAGCCAGUGCAUGCUCAGGGAAGCCUCAGGGCCCUUGAGUGGCCAGGCCCCAGAUGUUGUUUUGGAAGCAAUGUUCUACAUGGCCCGUGUUUAUUUGUUCUAUUUGUUUGGGUGGUUUUUUUUGUUUUUUGUUUUUUUUUGCUAUACAUUUUCUGGCACAGUAAUCCAGGGGCAUUUGCAGAAAUGGAAAUCCACACAUCUUUCUGAACAACCAAUUUUUAAAGUCGUCUUAUUUCUAAAUUUGCUAACGGUGGUCAACAGUUAAACAGAUCCUACAAGCAAUCGGAAGUAUAGUUUUAAAAUUUAAGUUCCUUCUAUAGGCCAACCACUGAGCAAGAUACUUUGACUAAAUUAUUGUAUUAAAACCCUCAAAAUAAUUAUUUGUAUUAAGCUCUCUUAUUAUCCCCAUUUUUGCGAACCAACUCAAAAAAGGUUUGGUGACUUGCAGGUCGGUGGUGGAGCCAGGCCUAACCCUCGUCAGCCCAUCUCAAGCCCUGGACCUUGGCUGCCGUGUGAUGUUGGAGAGUUCAGGCCUCGUAGGGCCUUCAGAUGCCAACCUCUCCAGCUUCUUCCCCGGACAGAUGGGGGAAUGGCGGCCUACACAGCUUAGCUGAAGACAAGCUCGAAGCCAGACAUGCCGCCACCUGGUCCAGUGCAGUUCUAACCACAUGUUGCCAGAGGGAAAUUAUGUGGAGUCAGUUCUGCCCAUUCUUAAGAAAGGACGGUUUUCCUGUGGCGUCUGACAUGUGUGCGUGUCUGCGUGUAGGCCAUUGAUUGGAAAUGACAUUCCAUUGAAAAUGCCUCUGAGGACCAGACACGAAUCUCCAGCAGGGAAGGGUUAAAGUUGCAGUGAUUUUGCAGGCUGGAUCAAAUGUUCUUGAGAGGCCAUUCUUCACAUCUUGUUUCUUUAGCGCUGGGAUAGGGCGAGUAAUCAAAGGUGACAAGCCUUCUCUGCUCGUCUGGUCCCAUUCCCGGUGCAGGGCAGCCCACAGGCGCAUUGAUCUUCAGUGGCAGCUGCUGCAGGUCCCCGACGCAGAGAUCCUGGGCCACGCAGGGCCCCGUUGUGUAGUAACACGAUGGAAGGAAGGAAGGAAGGAAGGAAGGAAGGAAGGAAGGAAGGAAGGAAGGAAGGAAGGACGCACCACUAACUGAGAAGUAAGACAAAACGUUUUCUCUGCAGACAUGAGAUUCGGUCACCUUGAGUUCCUGGGCAGCUGUGAUUUAGGUGCCAUCUCUGUCCAGCCUCAGACGGCAAAGCAAGGCCACCAGAGGUUUGCUGGCCUGCCGGGACGUGUUGGUUUGCUGCGGGCUGCAGGCGCGUUCAAGCGGGAGCGUGCCCCCGUGUAAGGUCUGUAUUAUGUAGGUCUGUGCCUGAAACCAGAGAAGGACACCACGGAGUAACAAAUGCCCCUCUGACCCAUUUUCUCCUGGGUUCUAAGCUACCUUUUGGAAUAAAAGUUGACAACGGGAAAGAGGGAGAAAAAUAAAUUCAUCGAAAUGUAUAAAUCUGCUGCCCAUGAGGUCCUUCGGUCACGUUACUACCCUUAAGUACUUUCCAGCCACCUUUGCACGAGAGAAGUGCUUGUCACCAUUUAGGUAGGGAGUGAAUGGAUCUGGGAGAGUUGAGCCACCCUGCCAAAAUCAUACACUGCAUCUGCAGAAAGAGCUGGAAGGAAGGUGCCUCGAGGUUGGGGCUGAUGACAGUCAAGGCUGUGUUUCCUUGUGGGAUACGUCAUAUUCCCUGAGACUUCCUGCAAGAUGGCUUUGAGCAAGGCUGGGCUCUCACAGUGUUGAGUAUGAUUUGUAAAUCUAAGCCUUUUUUCUUCCAUAAAUGUGAUUUUGCUUUACACACAAAAAGGUGUGACAUGAGGAGACAACUUAGGUUUAUAUCAGGUAUUACCUGACCACGCGAUGGACCUUCAGGGAUUAUGAGGCCGUGUGCAUAGAGUCAUUGAUCUGGCUAGGCCAGCUAAGACUGAACUGCUCCGUGAGCCUUGGGUGGUAAAAUGUAUGGAACCCUUGUGUCUGAUUUCCUAUUCUUCGUUUUGGUAUCUGGUUUCUUCCUUCUAUCUUAGGUCUUGGCCAACACUCUUGAAUUUUUGACUUUUGACUCAUAAUUCAAAUAGCAGUUAGGGUGCUCAGAAUUAUAAUUGUCACUGUCUUCAAAAUCUCAGUCCUGGUGCAAGAGCUUACAAUAACCUCUUGUUCUGAACCCAAAUCCCUACCCCUAUGAACUCCUUCUCUACAAAGUCUUGCCACCAACUCCCUGGUGUGACAAAUACCAUGUCUGUCUUGAUCAAAGUGUGAAUUCCAUAGUAUGCAUCCGUAGUAUAACUAACAUUGGUCAUUCCAUGUUGUAGAAGGUAUAAAAGGUUUUAAAGAGAAACAAGAAAAAAAAAUUGAUUCCUGGAAGAAAAGACUUGUCAAGGCAAUUUCUUGCAAGAGCAAACCCUUCAUUAGAAAUGAAGUUAGAUCUGAUUUUGAAGGAGUGGAUAGAUGUCUCCUGGUAUUUCCUAUUGUCAUAUCAUAUAUGACACAUAUAGAUGUGAGUGAUUGUUUUCAAUCCCACCUAUAUUAAAAGAGAGCUAACCAAAUGAGUAAAAUCAAAUGUAAUUAGUUUAACCUAAAUUGUAGGUUUUCAAAGCAAUUAAUAAAACUGAAAGUUGAAAGCUGCUUGUUAAGCAAAUCAAAGAUCAGGGAACGUACUUCUUUUAUUGAAUGUCACUCCUAUGUAAACCAACCUACACAAAUCAUUUCCAUGUUUGAAAUACAGCAAGUCUGUAAUUGAAAUGCGCGGCGGCAGCAACAACUUCGGUAAUUUGUGCAUUGCCUGGAUUCUUGACGACAACAGCAGCCACGUGCAAGGACUUGGAAUCAAGAUAGACCCGGAUCUGGGGCACCUGGGUGGCUCAGUCGUUAAGCGUCUGCCUU